rnacentral:tRNA from 1 species
UGCCAUGUGGUGUAGUGUUUUGAGCAUUAGACUAGGACUCAGGAGACCAGGGUUCAAAUUCCUACUUGGCCA